GCCACUGUGGCGUAGUGGUAAACACAGUUGUUUUUGGUUUUCAAUGGGUUGGGUUCGAUUCCGUGCUGGGUCA